GUGCCAGCAGCCGCGGUAAGACGAACCGAGCGAACGUUGUUCGGAAUCACUGGGCUUAAAGGGCGCGUAGGCGGGUGGGAAAGUCUGCGGUGAAAUCCUCCAGCUUAACUGGAGAAGUGCCGUGGAUACUGCUCAUCUUGAGGAGGGUAGGGGCAUCUGGAACGGUCGGUGGAGCGGUGAAAUGCGUUGAUAUCGACCGGAACUCCGGUGGCGAAGGCGAGGUGCUGGACCCUUUCUGACGCUGAGGCGCGAAAGCCAGGGGAGCAAACGGGAUUAGAUACCCCCGUAGUCC
rnacentral:rRNA from 1 species